CUGACACCUUAUCGUGGUGAGGGGGUCCAGUUGGGCGAUAACCGUCCAAUUGCUAAGAGCAGUCGCCGCCUAUUACUAACUUCUAUAUAAUCUCCUUCCACCACUUAUGAAAGAUGACAAAACAAAAAUAGCUGUGCGAUUACCUGAUGGAACAAGAGAAACUUAAGAAUAGCCUUGCUCGACUAAAAUUAAGGCUUUAAAAUUACACAUAGAACACAAGUACUAAUCCAUAACUAAAGACUUUUACAAGAUUCAUACAACGUUUCCAAAACAAGACAUAAGUACUGCAGCUUAUGAAACAAAAUCUCUCAUCGAAGCUUAGUUACAUCCGAC